rnacentral:rRNA from 1 species
UACAGAGGUCCCAAGCGUUGUUCGGAUUUACUGGGCGUAAAGGGUGCGUAGGCGGUUGGUUAAGUCUGACGUGAAAUCUCCGGGCCUAACCCGGAAACUGCGUUGGAUACUAUUCAACUAGAGGAAUGGAGGGGAGACUGGAAUACUUGGUGUAGCAGUGAAAUGCGUAGAUAUCAAGUGGAACACCAGUGGCGAAGGCGAGUUCCUGGACAGUUGCUGACACUGAGGCACGAAGGCUAGGGGAGCAAACGGG